CUGCAGUCGAGCGGCAGCGCGGGAGCAUCCUGGCGGCGAGCGGCGGACGGGUGAGUAACGCUUGGGAAUCUGCCUGUUAGUGGGGGACAACCCGGGGAAACUCGGGCUAAUACCGCAUACGCACUACGGUGGAAAGCCGGGGACCGCAAGGCCUGGCGCUAACAGAUGAGCCCAAGUCGGAUUAGCUAGUUGGUAGGGUAACGGCCUACCAAGGCGACGAUCCGUAACUGGUCUGAGAGGACGACCAGUCACACCGGAACUGAGACACGGUCCGGACUCCUACGGGAGGCAGCAGUGGGGAAUAUUGGACAAUGGGGGAAACCCUGAUCCAGCGACGCCGCGUAGGUGAAGAAGGCCUGCGGGUUGUAAAGCCCUUUCGGUGGGGAAGAAAAGUCUCGGCUUAAUACGCUGGGACCUUGACGUAACCCACUAAAGAAGCACCGGCUAACUCUGUGCCAGCAGCCGCGGUAAUACAGAGGGUGCGAGCGUUAAUCGGAAUUACUGGGCGUAAAGCGCGCGUAGGCGGCUUUGCAAGUCGGGUGUGAAAUCCCCAGGCUUAACCUGGGAACUGCAUUCGAGACUGCAUUGCUAGAGUAUGGGAGAGGGCAGUGGAAUUUCCGGUGUAGCGGUGAAAUGCGUAGAUAUCGGAAGGAACAUCAGUGGCGAAAGCGACUGCCUGGACCAAUACUGACGCUCAUGUGCGAAAGCGUGGGGAGCAAACAGGAUUAGAUACCCUGGUAGUCCACGCCAUAAACGAUGACAACUGGAUGUCGGAGGGGUCUGCCCUUCGGUGUCGUAGCUAACGCGUUAAGUUGUCCGCCUGGGGAGUACGGCCGCAAGGUUGAAACUC
rnacentral:rRNA from 1 species